GAGUUUGAUCCUGGCUCAGGAUGAACGCUGGCGGCGUGCCUAAUACAUGCAAGUCGAACGGGGAGUACUUACUUCGGUUUUUACUCCUAGUGGCGAACGGGUGAGUAACGCGUUGGUGACCUGCCCCGAAGAGGGGGACAACUCCGCGAAAGCGGAGCUAAUACCCCAUGUGGUCUCUGAGAUUAGAUGCUUGGUGACUAAAGGAGCAAUCCACUUCGGGAGGGGCCUGCGUCCCAUCAGCUAGUUGGUAAGGUAACGGCCUACCAAGGCGAUGACGGGUAGGGGGCCUGAGAGGGUGGCCCCCCACACUGGCACUGAAACACGGGCCAGACAUCUACGGAUGGCAGCAGUAGGGAAUAUUGCACAAUGGGCGAAAGCCUGAUGCAGCAACGCCGCGUGCGCGAAGAAGGCCUUCGGGUUGUAAAGCGCUUUUCUGGAGGAAGAGGAAGGACGGUACUCCAGGAAUAAGGAUCGGCUAACUACGUGCCAGCAGCCGCGGUAACACGUAGGAUCCGAGCGUUAUCCGAAUUUACUGGGCGUAAAGCGCGUGUAGGCGGCUAGGUAAGUUGGACGUGAAAGCUCCUGGCUCAACUGGGAGAGGUCGUUCAAAACUGCCUGGCUAGAGGGCGACAGAGGGAGGUGGAAUUCCCGGUGUAGUGGUGAAAUGCGUAGAUAUCGGGAGGAACACCAGUGGCGAAGGCGGCCUCCUGGGUCGCCCCUGACGCUCAGACGCGAAAGCUAGGGGAGCGAACGGGAUUAGAUACCCCGGUAGUCCUAGCUGUAAACGAUGUGAACUUGGCGUUGGUGGGGUCAAAUCCAUCAGUGCCGGAGCUAACGCGAUAAGUCACCGCCUGGAGCGCUAGCU
rnacentral:rRNA from 1 species